UGUAAACUUUCUUUGGUGAGCCGCUAG
rnacentral:sRNA from 1 species